rnacentral:rRNA from 1 species
GCAUGCCUAAUACAUGCAAGUCGAACGAUCCUUUCGGGGAUAGUGGCGCACGGGUGCGUAACGCGUGGGAAUCUGCCCUUGGGUUCGGAAUAACUUCGGGAAACUGAAGCUAAUACCGGAUGAUGACGAAAGUCCAAAGAUUUAUCGCCCAGGGAUGAGCCCGCGUAGGAUUAGCUAGUUGGUGGGGUAAAGGCCUACCAAGGCGACGAUCCUUAGCUGGUCUGAGAGGAUGAUCAGCCACACUGGGACUGAGACACGGCCCAGACUCCUACGGGAGGCAGCAGUAGGGAAUAUUGGACAAUGGGCGAAAGCCUGAUCCAGCAAUGCCGCGUGAGUGAUGAAGGCCUUAGGGUUGUAAAGCUCUUUUACCCGAGAUGAUAAUGACAGUAUCGGGAGAAUAAGCUCCGGCUGACUCCGUGCCAGCAGCCGCGGUAAUACGGAGGGAGCUAGCGUUGUUCGGAAUUACUGGGCGUAAGGCGCACGUAGGCGGCGAUUUAAGUCAGAGGUGAAAGCCCGGGGCUCAACCCCGGAACUGCCUUUGAGACUGGAUUGCUAGAAUCUUGGAGAGGCGAGUGGAAUUCCGGGUGUAGAGGUGAAAUUCGUAGAUAUUCGGAAGAACACCAGUGGCGAAAGCGGCUCGCUGGACAAGUAUUGACGCUGAGUGCGAAAGCGUGGGGAGCAAACNANANNANAUANNCNNGUAGUCNACGCNGUAANCGAUGANNNACUAGCUGCUGGNNCNNAUGUGUUCGUGGCGCAGCUACGCAUUAAGUUAUCCGCCUGGAGUACGGUCGCAGAUUAAACUCAAGGAAUGACGGGGCCUGCACAAGCGUGGAGCAUGUGGUUAAUUCGAAGCAACGCGCAGAACCUUACCAGCGUUGACAUCCUCAUCGCGGAUUCAGAGAUGAUUCCUUCAGUUCGGCUGGAUGAGUGACAGGUGCUGCAUGGCUGUCGUCAGCUCGUGUCGUGAGAUGUUGGGUUAAGUCCCGCAACGAGCGCAACCCUCGCCUUUAGUUGCCAGCAUUUAGUUGGGUACUCUAAAGGAACCGCCGGUGAUAAGCCGGAGGAAGGUGGGGAUGACGUCAAGUCCUCAUGGCCCUUACGCGCUGGGCUACACACGUGCUACAAUGGCGACUACAGUGGGCUGCAACCGUGCGAGCGGUAGCUAAUCUCCAAAAGUCGUCUCAGUUCGGAUUGUUCUCUGCAACUCGAGAGCAUGAAGGCGGAAUCGCUAGUAAUCGCGGAUCAGCAUGCCGCGGUGAAUACGUUCCCAGGCCUUGUACACACCGCCCGUCACACCAUGGGAUUUGGAUUCACCCGAAGGCACUGCGCUAACCCGCAAGGGAGGCAGGUGACCACGGUGGGUUUAGAGACUGGGGUGAAGUCGUAACAAGGUAGCCGUAGGGGAACCUGUGGAUGGAUCACCUC